UUUAAUUAGCCCCCACUGGUUUAUUUUUUUUAAUUGAUCUUAUUCUAGAAGGUGGAUCAAACAAGAUGUUGCUGUGUCCAUAACUGUUAUUUAUAGGAAAACUGAGGCCUAGAGACAUUCAGAAGCCAAGACUUAACUUCUGUUUCUCUUUGUAUUUUGAAGAUAGUCACCUUCCCCUUUUGAGGGAAGAAAGGAAUAUAGGGAUUGCAGGGACCAAAACACAAAAUUGCACAGGUUAAAAAUGUUCUCAUAUCAUCUUUUCCACCUGCCCCCCAACUCUUUAGUAAAUUGGAGUUCUCUUGUAGUGCAGUGGGUUAAGGAUCUUGCAUUGUCAUUGCAAUGGCUCAGGUCAAUGCUGUGACACAAGUUUUAUCCCUGGACUGGAAACUCCCACACACUACAGGUGCAGCCAAAAAACAAAUAAACAAAAAAAUGAUGAACAAAAACCCAUAACUCUUUGGUAAAUCUUUGAUUCCCAGGAGAAUCUAUUUUUAACUAAAGAGUUCCUUAUAAGAAGUCUGUGCAGAAUCAGUUUCUCCAGAAUUGGAGCCAGCUCUGGGCACCUCCUGAGUGCUUGGCAAACAUUCUCUACUGAGGUCACACCAGCUGCCUCCUCCAUUUAGCAAAGCCUCCUUCUUCCAGCACUUAGCACUGUGUGGGCUCCAUGGCCACAUAACCCCUGUGCAAACUGACCUCUGCCAACAUCCAGUCUUAUGGCCAGAAGAAAGCCCUUCUGUUCCUCUGAAGUGACUGGACAGAAAGGCAGUGACUGCAUGUGUAGACUUAGUCUGACCUGAACACAGAUGGACAGGACUCUGCUCGGGUCAAGCCAGGACAAGGAGAGACCAGGUGGAGACACUCAGGCUUCGAGGGAUGAAUUUAACCCCAUUCCUACAGCUAACAUGUGGCAGAACCAGUGUGCAAACCCAGGUCUAUAACUCUUCCAUGUCUAGACCUUAAAGUAACUGGACUCUGUUCAAUCACGUUUGAGACAAGGACAGUGUCAUCCUCUCAGAGGGAGCUAGUAACAAAGAGCCAACUCUGUACAAAAGGCUCCUGGCAGUCUUACUCUGUGUAAGAGAGAGGGAGAGUCAAAAGCAGGAAGAUAAAACCUGGCAUCCGGUGGAAACCAGAGGCACAAGUUUUAGCAGCAGAAACUGCAACAAGUUGAGAAAUGUGCUCUGAACACAAGGGCUCUGAGAAUGCAAAGCACUGAGUCAGACUCUUAACGUCUUCUUACCAAGAUAAUGCCUAAAAGACGGGAUCUGUUGAGAACACUAAGAACCUAAAUAUUACCUCCCUUGAAAUGAAGAUCCUUUCAUGUCAUAUUUAUCCUUAUUUUGUGUCUCUUCAUCAUGAGAUAGUCAUGUCUAGUUUGUUGGCCAGAAGUUCUGAAUCAUCUUGACAUAUUAAUUUCUAUGGCUGAUUUUUUAAAAUCUUUCAUUACUUGGAGAGUAUACAGUUUGCUUUAUUUCAGGUUCUCAAAAGUGUAUUCACUCAUAUGUUUGUUUUAGGAAAUUGAACUUCAUCAAGGAACAUAGGAACAUAAAGAAGCCUUUGAAACACGUAAUGGAGAAUUUUGAUUUUCUAGGCCAGUAGCAUCUCCCAAAAGGCUGAGUUCUGAUGGGACAGGCUGAUUUGCAUCACAGCCCUGUCACUUGCCAGGGUGACCUUGAGCAAGUGGCUUAUCCUGUCCAUGUCUCCAUUCUUCUUCAAAUGAGAUAGUAAUAGAAUCUACUUCACAGGUAAUAGAAGACGCAAAGAAACACUGUCAUUUUGUAAACAUUUCAAUAUUUGUACCCCCUUUGUCCCUGUUGACAUCUGUGUGAUAGCCCAGAGUGUGAAUAUGCCAUAAUUAACUGUCCCCUUACUGAUGAGCAUCAGGUGUUUCCAGUUAUUAAACAAGACAAGCAGAGUUCCUGCCCUGAAGGGUUACCAUCUAGUGGAGGGAGGCAAAAAGAAUAAAUGAACAAGAUAAAUUGUGCUGUAUUAAAUUUCAUUUAACUUAAUAACCAGAGCAACACAGAAGCAAGUCAAUGGAUGAAAGGCACAUAUGUUACCAAGGGUGAUCCGGCAGGGCUUCUGGAGAGAAUGCUGUUGGACAGAGCCAUGACAGGAGAAAGAGCCAGCUAGCCACAGAAUGAGAAGUCAAGGACUUUGGGCAAGGGAACAGCAAGUGCAGAAUCCCUGAUGUAUGAAAGAAUUUAGCCCAUUCUGAGUGUGGAAGGCCAUGAGAUAGACCCUGAUAUUUAGGGGUCUGAUGAAAUCAGCACCACAGAUCAAUAAGAAAAGAACAAACUCUUUAGUAGAUGACAUGGACACCAGUGGCUGACCGUGUAGCGUGAAAUACAACAGCAUCUCCACUUCACAAGCUGAGCUGUGUUCCAGGGAAGGAGAAUGUGAAGGACCAUGGCAAGAAGGACAAGCCACCAGAAGCUGUGGGAGAGUUUUCCUCAGGGCCGUUGCUAAAUCUUGUUCAUGUUUUUAGGAAAUCGUUUGUGCUCUUCUGUGGGGAAUGGCUUAUAGCAAGGCAAAAGUGGAAGCAGGAAGACCAGUUAGGCUAAUACAGUAGAGAUGAGGGAGAUAAUGGCUUGGGCUAGAGCAGUGGCUGGGAUGCUGAGGGAAAGCUGGAGGGAAAACAGUUUCCCCUGAGUGCAGAGGGCUGAGGACCUGACCAUUAUCACCCUUGGUGCCCAGGAGCCGCAAGCUUAUCUUCUCAUUAUUUCUCUGAACCCACCAAGCCUUUCCCAUUCUCUCCUCGGAGAAAGGCAAUCAUUAUUCAGCUUUCCCAGAGUUUUCCAAUUUAAUAGCUGCAGUGAAAUUUGAUUGUUAUUUCAACUUCUCUGAAUACCAAUGACUUUGAGCAUCUCCUCAAAUGCUUAUUUGUUUGGGGGGUUUCCCCUUCAAUAAACUGCAGGUUCGAACCUCUA